AGUUUUCUAUGAUUCAGUUAUUAGCAGUUUAGAAUUAUGCUAGCACAUUCCCUAAGGCCACUUACUCUAGUAGUGAAAUAGCCUAGCCCUACCUAGUGAUGGCACUACUCUAGCUAUGGGUUUGAGGAUGUUACAACUCUUCCCCUCUUAAGAAAUUUUGACCUCGAAAUUUUACCUGCUUUGAAUAGCUGUGGAUAUUGUUGCCUCAUCACUUCUUCACUCUCCCAUGUAGCUUCUUCUGCCUUGUGAUUUCUCCACAACACUUUAACUAAGGGAAUCUUCUUGUUUCGUAAUUCUUUUAUUUCUCUUGCUAAAAUUUUCACUGGUUCUUCUUCAUAAGUUAGGUCAGGUUGUACAUCAAUGUUUUCAGCUGGAAUGACAUGUGAAGGAUCAGAUCUGUAUCUUCUUAACAUGGAUACAUGAAAGACAUUGUGUAUUUUAUCUAUCUCUGGAGGUAAAGCUAGCCUGUAGGCUACUGGACCCACACGCUCAAUUACUUCAUAUGGACCAAUAAACCGAG
rnacentral:lncRNA from 1 species